rnacentral:rRNA from 1 species
UGGGGAAUAUUGCACAAUGGGCGAAAGCCUGAUGCAGCGACGCCGCGUGCGGGAUGACGGCCUUCGGGUUGUAAACCGCUUUCGGCAGGGAAGAAGCCGCAAGGUGACGGUACCUGCAGAAGAAGCGCCGGCUAACUACGUGCCAGCAGCCGCGGUAAUACGUAGGGCGCAAGCGUUGUCCGGAAUUAUUGGGCGUAAAGAGCUCGUAGGCGGUUCGUCGCGUCUGCUGUGAAAUCCUCAGGCUCAACCUGGGGCGUGCAGUGGGUACGGGCGGACUAGAGUGCGGUAGGGGUGACUGGAAUUCCUGGUGUAGCGGUGGAAUGCGCAGAUAUCAGGAGGAACACCGAUGGCGAAGGCAGGCCACUGGGCCGCAACUGACGCUGAGGAGCGAAAGCAUGGGGAGCGAACAGGAUUAGAUAGCCCUGGUAGUCCAUGCCGUAAACGUUGGGCACUAGGUGUGGGGUCCAUUCCACGGAUUCCGUGCCGCAGCAAAGCGCAUUAAGUGCCCCGCCUGGGGAGUACGGCCGCAAGGCUAAAACUC